AUUGAACGCUGGCGGCAUGCCUUACACAUGCAAGUCGAACGGUAACGCGGGGCAACCUGGCGACGAGUGGCGAACGGGUGAGUAAUGUAUCGGAACGUGCCCAGUUGUGGGGGAUAACUGCUCGAAAGAGCAGCUAAUACCGCAUACGACCUGAGGGUGAAAGCGGGGCAUCGCAAGACCUCGCGCAAUUGGAGCGGCCGAUAUUAGAUUAGGUAGUUGGUGGGGUAAGGGCUCACCAAGCCAACGAUCUGUAGCUGGUCUGAGAGGACGACCAGCCACACUGGGACUGAGACACGGCCCAGACUCCUACGGGAGGCAGCAGUGGGGAAUUUUGGACAAUGGACGCAAGUCUGAUCCAGCCAUGCCGCGUGCGGGAAGAAGGCCUUCGGGUUGUAAACCGCUUUUGUCAGGGAAGAAACGCUCUGGGUUAAUACCUCGGGGUAAUGACGGUACCCGAAGAAUAAGCACCGGCUAACUACGUGCCAGCCGCCGCGGUAAUAC
rnacentral:rRNA from 1 species